rnacentral:rRNA from 1 species
AACGCGAAGAACCUUACCUGGGCUCGAACGGCUUAAGACCGGGGUGGAAACACCCUCUCCCCUUAAAAGGCUUGAGUCGAGGUGCUGCAUGGCUGUCGUCAGCUCGUGUCGUGAGAUGUUGGGUUAAGUCCCGCAACGAGCGCAACCCUUGUCCUGUGUUGCCACUCCCGUAAGGGAAGCACUCUCAGGAGACCGCCAGCGAUAAGUUGGAGGAAGGUGGGGAUGAUGUCAAGUCAUCAUGGCCUUUAUGUCCAGGGCUACACACGUGCUACAAUGGACGGUACAAAGCGCUGCAAACCCGCAAGGGGGAGCUAAUCGCAAAAAACCGUUCUCAGUUCGGAUCGCAGGCUGCAACUCGCCUGCGUGAAGCUGGAAUCGCUAGUAAUGGCGUAUCAGAAUGAUGCCGUGAAUACGUUCCCGGGCCUUGUACACACCGGAGUA